CCUACGGGAGGCAGCAGUGGGGAAUUUUGGACAAUGGGCACAAGCCUGAUCCAGCAAUGCCGCGUGAGUGAAGAAGGCCUUCGGGUUGUAAAGCUCUUUUGUCAGGGAAGAAACGGUCUACUCUAAUACAGUGGGCUAAUGACGGUACCUGAAGAAUAAGCACCGGCUAACUACGUGCCAGCAGCCGCGGUAAUACGUAGGGUGCAAGCGUUAAUCGGAAUUACUGGGCGUAAAGCGUGCGCAGGCGGUUAUAUAAGUCAGAUGUGAAAUCCCCGGGCUCAACCUGGGAACUGCAUUUGAGACUGUAUGGCUAGAGUGUGUCAGAGGGGGGUAGAAUUCCACGUGUAGCAGUGAAAUGCGUAGAUAUGUGGAGGAAUACCGAUGGCGAAGGCAGCCCCCUGGGAUAACACUGACGCUCAUGCACGAAAGCGUGGGGAGCAAACAGGAUUAGAUACCCUGGUAGUCCACGCCCUAAACGAUGUCUACUAGUUGUCGGGACUUAAUUGUCUUGGUAACGCAGCUAACGCGUGAAGUAGACCGCCUGGGGGAGGUACGGUCGCGAGAGUAAACGUUAAACGUAAGUAAGUAGUAGUACGUCGAGAGAGACGACGACGGACGACGACGGAGGAGGAG
rnacentral:rRNA from 1 species